rnacentral:rRNA from 1 species
GAUGAACGCUGGCGGCGUGCCUAAUACAUGCAAGUCGAGCGAACAGACGAGGAGCUUGCUCCUCUGACGUGAGCGGCGGACGGGUGAGUAACACGUGUAUAACCUACCUAUAUGACUGGGAUAACUUCGGGACACCGGAGCUAAUACCGGAUAAUAUCUUGAUCCGUAUGGUUGAAUGGUGAAAGUCGGUGUUGCUGUCUCGACUCGAUGGUUCUGCGCCGCAUUAGCUGGUUGUUAAGGUAACGGCUUAUCAAGGCGACGAUGCGUAGCCGACCUGAGAGGGUGAUCGGCCACACUGGAAGUGAGACCCGGUACAGACUCCUACGGGAGGCGGCAGUAGGGAAUCGUCCGCAAUGGGCGAAAACCUGACGGAGCAACGCCGCGGGAGUGAUGAAGGUCUUCGGAUCGUAAAACUCUGUUAUUGGGGAAGAACAAGUUUGUAAGUAACUAUGCGCGUCUUGACGGUACCUGAUCAGAAAGCCACGGCUAACUACGUG